UUCUUGUUUAAGCAUGUUAGGGUGUGUGGC
rnacentral:piRNA from 1 species